GACGAACGCUGGCGGCGUGCUUAACACAUGCAAGUCGAACGGAAAGGCCCUGCUUUUGUGGGGUGCUCGAGUGGCGAACGGGUGAGUAACACGUGAGUAACCUGCCCUUGACUUUGGGAUAACUUCAGGAAACUGGGGCUAAUACCGGAUAGGAGCUCCUGCUGCAUGGUGGGGGUUGGAAAGUUUCGGCGGUUGGGGAUGGACUCGCGGCUUAUCAGCUUGUUGGGGGGGUAGUGGCUUACCAAGGCUUUGACGGGUAGCCGGCCUGAGAGGGUGACCGGCCACAUUGGGCCUGAGAUGCGGCCCAGACUCGUACGGGAGGCAGCAGUGGGGAAUAUUGCACAAUGGGCGGAAGCCUGAUGCAGCAACGCCGCGUGGGGGAUGACGGCCUUCGGGUUGUAAACCGCUUUCGCCUGUGACGAAGCGUGAGUGACGGUAAUGGGUAAAGAAGCACCGGCUAACUACGUG
rnacentral:rRNA from 1 species